CACUCUCCUCUUUCCUGAAGCACAGAUGGGCUGUGCGUGACUGAACCCCCGUCACAGCCAAGAAGAUCAGGAGUGAAGAUGCUGUGCAGUGGAGUGAGUUGGACACAAAUUCAAGACUGACAAGAUCCUGAAAGAUUUUUCUGGUCACUGGCUCAGACACCAAGAUUGACCCUGGAUGGUCUUCAGCAGAUGUAGAAUGAAGAAAUUUCACUUUACUGUGUAAGAUGAAAAGGAAGAGCAAGGCAGUUCAACAUCAAUCCUUUGUGUUUUCAGAUUCUGAGAUUUCAUGUUCACGUCUGUUGACUGCAUUUGUUCUUAAUAUAUUUCAGCCUUUUAUUUUUUAUCUUUUAUAGUUUGUUGUCCCUGUGAAUUUAAAACCACCUGAGUAUAAUUAAACAGUAAUUUAAUUUAAGGAAUUACAGGAAUUAAAUACAACCAUCCUCCCCUGACUAAAGCACAGUGUUUAUCACACUACUUUAAAGAGUGUU